GUCACGAUGGCCGAGCAGUUAGGGCGUUGGACUCGAAAUCGAAUGGGAUUUCCCUGCGUAGGUUCGAAUCCUGCUCGCGACG
rnacentral:tRNA from 1 species